UACUAGAGGUACUAGUGGUACUAGAGGUACUCACCCCUACUAGACAGGAUGGUCUCACUAGACACCGUGUGAGUCACCAAGUCAUACUGGAGCAGGCUGUACUAGUAGUGUGUGUACUAGUGGUACUAGUAGUGUGUGUACUAG